GCAGAUGAUGCAGCGGCUUGACAUCAAGACAGUUGUUAAAGCUUCGGCGCCUGAAGAUGAGCCUGCGUCUGAUUAGCUAGUUGGCGGAGUAAUAGCCCACCAAGGCGACGAUCAGUAGCUGGUCUGAGAGGAUGAUCAGCCACACUGGAACUGAGACACGGUCCAGACUCCUACGGGAGGCAGCAGUAAGGAAUAUUGCUCAAUGGGAGAAAUCCUGAAGCAGCAACGCCGCGUGAGGGAUGAAGGGCUUUUGCUCGUAAACCUCUGUAGUGAGGGAAAAAUUUCCAUUCUAUGGAAUAUGAUGGUACCUCAAAAGUAAGCCCGGCUAACUACGUG
rnacentral:rRNA from 1 species